rnacentral:SRP_RNA from 1 species
ACUUCGGUCCCGUGCGACGGUGCACCGUGAAUCAUGUCAGGCGGGGAACCGAGCAGCAUUAAGCGGACCGCAACGGGUGCCACGGAUCAUCGGGGUGCU